CCUACGGGAGGCAGCAGUGAGGAAUAUUGGUCAAUGGCCGGAAGGCUGAACCAGCCAAGUCGCGUGAGGGACGACUGCCCUAUGGGUUGUAAACCUCUUUUAUAAGGGAAGAAUAAAUGCUACGUGUAGCAUGAUGCCUGUACCUUAUGAAUAAGCAUCGGCUAACUCCGUGCCAGCAGCCGCGGUAAUACGGAGGAUGCGAGCGUUAUCCGGAUUUAUUGGGUUUAAAGGGUGCGUAGGCGGUUUUUUAAGUUAGUGGUUAAAUGUUGGGGCUUAACCUUGAUUUUGCAUUAGAACUGUUUAGCCUAGAGUAUAGGCGAGGUAGGGGGAAUGAGUAAGGUAGGGGUGAAAUGCUUAGAUAAAACGAAGAAGA
rnacentral:rRNA from 1 species